rnacentral:rRNA from 1 species
UACGUAGGCAGCAAGCGUUGUUCGGAGUUACUGGGCGUAAAGAGUGCGUAGGUGGUGCCCUAAGUCUGUUGUGAAAUCUCCUGGGCUUAACUGGGAGGGUGCGGUGGAAACUGGGGUGCUUGAGUGUGGGAGAGGUAAGCGGAAUUCCUGGUGUAGCGGUGAAAUGCGUAGAUAUCGAGGAGGAACACCGGUGGUGUAGACGGCUUCUGGACCACGGACAUGACACUGAGGCACGAAAGCGUGGGUAGCAAACAGG